UGGCUCAAUCGAUUUUAUCUCGUUAUGUUUGAUUUAUGGAUAUAUUUAUCGAUGUAAUUUAGAUAAUGUGAUUCACGCACCGCAUGGUUGAUUAAUUUAUCUCGAAACGACAAUAAACACAAAAAUAUACUCUUGCUCUGGAAAUUAUCUACUCAGAAUUACAAUUUAGUUUUCGUUGUUAUACCGUAUGUCCGUGUAGUCCGU